GCUUGGACUGAUUGUGUUCUGGUGCUAAAGUCUAAAGUUUGGGGGUUCUGUGGAAAGGGUUUUGCCGAGGUUCGAGAGGAAAUGGGCAAAGCAAGGACAAAAGAGAGCAGAGUGCAUGCAGCUGGGAAUCGUGAAAAGGCACAACUUUUCUGGCACACCGGAAAAUCAAUAAUAAAUUAAUACAGUUUAGUGGUUUCUUGGUGAUUAUAAUGGUAACAAGAAGACGCAACCGCCGACAACAAGAACACUGCUGCUGCCCUCCACUAUCCUUUUUCCCGCGAAUCCCUUUCGCUGUAUCUAGUGUACUGUUCACAAAGCUAGGACAGGGGAGGCACUUGAGAAGCAACAAUGCUACAUGCCUGAUAGCUACUAGGUAAAGGAUGCUCUUACAGAUGAUGCCAUUUGAAUAAAAAGUUCUUAUUGGAUUUAAGAUAAGAUUUGAUUAAGAAAUCCAUUGAAUUUCAGGCUAGAA